rnacentral:rRNA from 1 species
GACGAACGCUGGCGGCGUGCCUAAUACAUGCAAGUUGAGCGAUGAAGAUUGGUGCUUGCACCAAUUUGAAGAGCAGCGAACGGGUGAGUAACGCGUGGGGAAUCUGCCUUUGAGCGGGGGACAACAUUUGGAAACGAAUGCUAAUACCGCAUAACAACUUUAAACAUAAGUUUUAAGUUUGAAAGAUGCAAUUGCAUCACUCAAAGAUGAUCCCGCGUUGUAUUAGCUAGUUGGUGAGGUAAAGGCUCGCCAAGGCGAUGAUACAUAGCCGACCUGAGAGGGUGAUCGGCCACAUUGGGACUGAGACACGGCCCAAACUCCUACGGGAGGCAGCAGUAGGGAAUCUUCGGCAAUGGACGAAAGUCUGACCGAGCAACGCCGAGUGAGUGAAGAAGGUUUUCGGAUCGUAAAACUCUGUUGGUAGAGAAGAACGUUGGUGAGAGUGGAAAGCUCAUCAAGUGACGGUAACUACCCAGAAAGGGACGGCUAACUACGUG